rnacentral:lncRNA from 1 species
GAAUAUCAUUCAAGAUCUCUCACCAGAUGCCGUUUCAUGACCAGAUCUGUGAGGAUUUCACCAGAUCGAUGAAGGUCUGCAACCCUUGAGGGACGGGAGAGAGUGAUGGUGGUGAUGAUCCGGUUACAGGCUUCUAUACGGUGUGACAGUGGUGGUCCUUAACAGCCACCAUACAUUGUUGACGGUUCCAUAGUUAAAAUGAGGAGAAAGACAAUGCCAGAAAACCCUAGCCGCCGCUUCCCGCGAUGGUAGCUAGGGUUCCGGCGAAGUCACCAACGAAGCUCCGAGUUGAUACUUUCAAGAUUGAUCAUCUUCAUACGAGGCUGCUGCUGGUAAAGUUCUAAACUUUUUUAAAUUUAACUUCAAUCUUGUCAUGAUUCUUAACUGAUUUUGGUUUUCUUCAUUACCCUUUUUGAAUGAUAUCAUUUGACCGUUGAGUCCCUUAUUUAUUAAGCAUUUUAAUGUUGAAAUUUAUUGUUUUCAAGAUUAUUUGUGGUGGAU